UCGUCUCCUUACAGGCUCUGCGAUCUCUCCAUCACUGGGGGAGGCUGGCAGGAGAUGCUCCUCACUGCUGUAGGCAAAGCAAAUAGAUGUUUUGAUGCUUUUGUCAACGAAAGAUGACCUCACUGCUUCACUGAUUCUUUUUCAACUGUGGGCGUGUCAUAACGUGGGUGUUUCUGAGUCUGAUGUGGGCAUUUAUGAAUUAGUUGUGGGCGUAUCCGAAGUGGAUAUGGGCGUGUCAGUUCAAUCACUUAGCAUGUAGGCCAAGGUGUACCAGCAUAUGCAGCGUGUUGCCAUUCACCUGUCAACGUGUUUGUGCGUCUCGUGCGUCGGAGAUGGUGGACCCUCAGGCCCUCCAGGCUGCGGGGACGAGGCCCCACUCGCCAGGCUGAGGGAGCUGCUGCUGGCUGACGCGUCGCUGCUGCUGGAGCCACUGCUGGAGGACGCUCUGGACACGGCGAAGCCCGGGGAAUGCCAGCCCUGCAGCGGACCUGAGUGGAUGCGACCGAGGUGGACGUCAUGAUGGGAGCUAUAGUUCCAGCCGGGGAUGCUGAGGCUGAGCAAGUGGAGGUUAGGGGGCAGCACCACAGCACGUGAAGGAGAACUUCCUCUGGGCUCCUUCUCAAGCCAGCCUUUCCCUUAAGAGCACAGAAGACCAGCACCAAACAAGGGGUGCCCAAAUUGAAAGCCAAUCCAAUGAGACGAUUGUGAGCGGACAAUCAGCCAGGAGAUGACGACAACGCGCCGACUCACCUGUAGAAGUACUGUCUGAUCUCAGACAUGACGGUGCCUGGAACGAUCUCCAUUUGCACAGCCUCGUACGCUCGCACAGCUGAACCGUUGGCGCUGAAGAUGUAGUUAUCGGAGAUGGGCCCGGUUUGGACGUCGCCGUUGGCCUGGUACUCCCAAAAAUCCUGCGUCAUCCGUACCCUUCUUUUGUCUUGCCUGGCAAAGACACAGGAUGGGAUUUUAGCUCCAGAAGGUCCUUUAAGGGGAGGAUGGUGGACACCACCUACAGAACCGGAAGGAGCCUUCUGGCUGUUUUCUUCCAAUCCCGGACACUUCGUCUCUCGAACGGAACCCCCCUCGCUUCGAAUGUCUCGCGGCACUUGGACCUCCUGGAGCAUGGCUUCUCUGAGAACUUUAUCAAGUACUUCCUGUGCUGAAGGCCGCCUAGCUCCACCAGGAUGAAGAGGUCGUAGGUCCUGUUCGACAAGGCGGACCUUUGGAUCUGUGAGUUGAACAACAAAGACUUAAAAUGAUGUGAUGGGGAACGUAGCUACAAGCUGGACCUCUUAGUUCUGCACGUCAACCAAUUAAAAAAAAAAAAAUGUAUUCCCUAAAAACAAAACAACAAUUCACACUGUUGAAACUGUUGCUGUUGCAUUGUCUGCAUCGUAUUAGACCCCUGAUACAAAGUCAUUGGUGAAAUGUACCUGUGCAGGCACGGCUUGUCUGGCAUCAUCAAAGACUCUUGCAAACGGGAAGGUUACAGUGACGUUGACGAGGGUGGUGAUGUUCCACGCUAAUGGGUUGUAAACAAUGACGUGCUGCUCCAUCGUCUGGUGAGCACCUGCGAAGAGACGAAUGUUUGCAUCAU